UGUCCAGUAGCACCUUAGAGACCAACUAAGUUUGUUCUUGGUAUAAGCUUUUGUGUGCAUGCACACUUCUUCAGAUUCACACUUCUUCAGAUGCACACGAAAGCUUUUACCAAGAACAGACUUAGUUGGUCUCUAAGGUGCUACUGGACA